rnacentral:rRNA from 1 species
CGAACGGGUGAGUAACGCGUGAGGAACCUGCCUCAAAGAGGGGGACAACAGUUGGAAACGACUGCUAAUACCGCAUAAGCCCACGGCUCGGCAUCGAGCAGAGGGAAAAGGAGCAAUCCGCUUUGAGAUGGCCUCGCGUCCGAUUAGCUAGUUGGCGGGGUAACGGCCCACCAAAGCGACGAUCAGUAGCCGACCUGAGAGGGUGACCGGCCACAUUGGGACUGAGACACGGCCCAA